rnacentral:rRNA from 1 species
UACGUAGGUGGCAAGCGUUGUCCGGAAUUACUGGGUGUAAAGGGAGCGCAGGCGGGGGAACAAGUCAGUUGUGAAAUCCAUGGGCUUAACCCGUGAACUGCAGUUGAAACUGUUCUUCUUGAGUGAAGUAGAGGUUGGCGGAAUUCCGAGUGUAGCGGUGAAAUGCGUAGAUAUUCGGAGGAACACCGGUGGCGAAGGCGGCCAACUGGGCUUUUACUGACGCUGAGGCUCGAAAGUGUGGGGAGCAA